GCCUAGCCACAAUACACAAUCAAACUACGAAUUGUUCGCCAAACAACUACGAGUAAUACUUAAAACUUAAAAGACUUGACGGUACUUCACCCCGACCUAGAGGAGCCUGUCUAAUAACCGAUAACCCACGAUUAACCCAACCACUUCUUGCCCAACAGUCUAUAUACCACCGUCGCCAGCUUACCUUGUAAAAGAAAUAAAGUGAGCUAAACAGUAACACACUAAAACGACAGGUCGAGGUGUAACCCAUGAAGGGGGCCAAGAUGGGCUACAUUCUCCAACAGAGAAUACGAACAACACUAUGAAAUUAGUGUUUGAAGGCGGAUUUAGCAGUAAGAUAAGAAUAAAAUACCUAACUGAACACAACGCAAUGAAAUGCGCACACACCGCCCGUCAUCCCUGCCACCACAAUAUUAAAUCUCAAUAAAUUAACUUUAAAAACAACCAGGGCAAGUCGUAACAUGGUAGGUGUACUGGAAAGUGUACCUAGAAA
rnacentral:rRNA from 1 species